rnacentral:lncRNA from 1 species
ACAGAUUUAACAUAGAUUAGAAAAAACAAAGCCACAAAUAUAAUCUUUCAAUUUCCCAUACACAGAUUCUGAUCUAAAACGGAACAACCAACCAAACCAAACCAAAUUAUUAAUGGCAAUUCAAUUUCAAAACACCACAACGAAAACAUAGAACUGGAUCAGAUCAAAAGAACCACAACAAAAAUAAAAAAUAGAACUGGAUCAAAUCUAAGACUUCUUCCAGAACUGGAUCAGAUCUAGAGUGCUUCCCGUUCAGCGGCUGAGAUGAAAGAGCCCGUUCAGCGGCUGAGAUGAAAGAGGCGAAGAGGCGAGAGAGGCGGAGAGGAGAGA